CCUACGGGAGGCUGCAGUCGAGAAUCAUUCACAAUGGGGGAAACCCUGAUGGUGCGACGCCGCGUGGGGGAAUGAAGGUCUUCGGAUUGUAAACCCCUGUCAUGUGGGAGCAAAUUAAAAAGAUAGUACCACAAGAGGAAGAGACGGCUAACUCUGUGCCAGCAGCCGCGGUAAUACAGAGGUCUCAAGCGUUGUUCGGAAUCACUGGGCGUAAGGCGUGCGUAGGCUGUUUCGUAAGUCGUGUGUGAAAGGCGCGGGCUCAACCCGCGGACGGCACAUGAUACUGCGAGACUAGAGUAAUGGAGGGGGAACCGGAAUUCUCGGUGUAGCAGUGAAAUGCGUAGAUAUCGAGAGGAACACUCGGGGCGAAGGCGGGUUCCUGGACAUUAACUGACGCUGAGGCACGAAGGCCAGGGGAGCGAAAGGGAUUAGAUACCCCAGUAGUC
rnacentral:rRNA from 1 species